UAGGUACUCUCUCCGUUCGGAAUUACUUGUCCCGAAAAUGAAUGUAUCUAGAACUAAAAUACAUCUAGAUACAUCAAUUUCUACGACAAGUAAUUCCGAACGAAGGGAGUACAAU
rfam:Triticum aestivum genome assembly, contig: Triticum_aestivum_CS42_TGACv1_scaffold_329048_4BS